AGAUAAAAUGAAGUUGGUGGACUAUGAAUGAAAUGCUAGCAAUUUUAGCUGUGAUUGCGAUAGCAGUUACGAUACAAAUUGUUUCAGGAAUUGGAAAUGAAACAAUCAAGGUGAAAGUGCAAAAAGGCAGAACUUUUGUUUUGAAAUGUUCCAUUUCUGAAGGAGAAGCGACAUGGUUAGGACCAUAUGUCAUCAAUGCAGGACAGGGAAAUGACAUUUACUUUUUAAAUAAUGACAAGAACCCAAACCUGAACCUAACCAAAUAUUCACUGCAAGGAAAUGCAGGAGGCUAUGACCUGAUUAUAAUAAAUUUUCAGGAGGAAAACACUGGUUGUUAUAUCUGCAGAUUUAGCAAUGAUGGACUGUUUCAUGAGACGAGAUAUAACGUCUCUUUAUUAGACAAAUACAAAGAAAAUGAAACAACUACAACAAGUUAUACAACUCAAAUUUAUGGGAUCAUAUCAAGUACUCCAAUGCUUGUACAGACUACCAAUUUUCAAUUUCCAAAAAGUAAACAAGGAAACAAGGAACAAAAUUCUAUAAUUUUGCUUGUACUUUUACCUCUUGUGCUGAUCGGAGGUUCUUUCACAAUUAUCGGACUUCUAGCAAGAGAAAAAGGGAUAACU